rnacentral:lncRNA from 1 species
GCCUUCUUGUCAAUACUAUUGUACGCAUCCCCUUUUGUGGUCUACUGGAGCAGCGGCAGCAACUAUGACGUUAUCAGAUCGUUCUAUACCAAGUUCGAUCUUCUCUCUAUUGCACUCUCCAUAAUUUCUUGGCUGAUGUUUUCCCUUUGUCAACGCCAUGGAGUUGAUGGAAAAACAGUUGGUUGGGCUCCUAUAAUUGUCUACUCGAUCGGCCUUGUCUUAUAUUGUGUUCUUCUGGUGAUGAGGUUUUGCCCAGAUGGAACCAUAUGCCACACUACUAUAGCACUGCUACUGGGCAUCACUCUCCUGUUGCUGCUAUUUGAUAUGUUUGAACCCAUCAAGAGGGAGCAGAAAACAGCUAAGGUGCUUUCAGGACUGGCCGCAUUAAUGCAGUUGACAGCAGAAGCUCUACCUUAUGCAGGCAUGCGUGCUCUGUGCUGCGCAGAUCCUGCACCUGCCCCAGUGAUUGUUGAUCUGCCCCAGGCAUCUUCUCAAGCCCCUGUGGUUGUUGAUCCGCCCCAGGCACCUGCUCAAGCUCCAGUGAUCAAAAACAGAAGAAAGCUUACUAUAUUCGUACGUGCAGUGGAUGCGGGUGUAACUCUCUUCUGGGCUGUCUAUUGUGCCUACAAUUAUGAUCACAGUUUUUUCUGGUUUGCCAACGUUACAUCUGCGGUCUUGUCCUGGGGGAGCGCUUACGUCUACAUAUCCUGGGCGCUAAGGCCUGUGGCAGGGCACCAGGCGCAAGAGGGGGAUGCAGAGCAGUAG